rnacentral:lncRNA from 1 species
GCGGACAGAGUCUCCCCUGUACGUUCAAGGCAUCGCAAUCAGCACAGUUACAACAAGUUCCAAACAGGAACAGUAUUCAACAUACAACGAUUGCAUUAGGAAGGUAUCAAACAACAUAAACACAUCCUAAGUUAUUACAUUCAUUCAUUCAUACUUUACCUCUCAAUUACAAUUUACCUUUACUUCCAACCAAAUGCAAUCUAAGCUACUACAUCAUUAUUCACAAGUACAGUACAUCUUAAUACGAAUUGUUACAUCAAUUAUUCAUUACAAUUUUGAUACAUUGAUCUUUUCAUCUCUAU